CGUUCCCGGGCCUUGUACACACCGCCCGUCACACCACGGGAGCGGGUUUCACCAGAAGUAGCUAGCCUAACCGCAAGGGGGCGGUUACCACGGUGAGAUUCGUGACUGGGGUG
rnacentral:rRNA from 1 species